rnacentral:rRNA from 1 species
UACAGAGGGGGCAAGCGUUAUUCGGAAUUAUUGGGCGUAAAGGGCGCGUAGGCGGCCUGGCAAGUGGAAGGUGAAAUCCCUCGGCUUAACCGAGGAACUGCCCUCCAAACUGCUUGGCUUGAGUCCGGGAGAGGUGAGUGGAAUUCCCAGUGUAGCGGUGAAAUGCGCAGAUAUCGGGAGGAACACCGGUGGCGAAGGCGGUUCUCUGGGCCUGUACUGACGCUGAGGAGCGAAAGCGUGGGGAGCGAACAGG